GUUGUAUGGUUAAGUGACUAAGCGUACAUGGUGGAUGCCUUGGCAGUCAGAGGCGAUGAAGGACGUACUAACCUGCGAUAAGCUGUGAGAAGUCGGUAAGAGACGCUAUUACUCACAGAUUUCCGAAUGGGGAAACCCACCCAAGAUAACUUGGGUAUCGUUACAUGAAUACAUAGUGUAACGAGGCGAACCGGGAGAACUGAAACAUCUAAGUACCCCGAGGAAAAGAAAUCAACCGAGAUUCCCUCAGUAGCGGCGAGCGAACGGGGAUUAGCCCUUAAGCAUCUUGGAAGUUAGUGGAACGGUCCUGGAAAGGCCGGCGAUACAGGGUGAUAGCCCCGUACACGAAAACAACCUUGAUGUGAAAUCGAGUAGGGCGGGACACGUGACAUCCUGUCUGAAUAUGGGGGGACCAUCCUCCAAGGCUAAAUACUCCUGACUGACCGAUAGUGAACCAGUACCGUGAGGGAAAGGCGAAAAGAACCCCUGUGAGGGGAGUGAAAUAGAACCUGAAACCGUGUACGUACAAGCAGUGGGAGCCCUUCGGGGUGACUGCGUACCUUUUGUAUAAUGGGUCAGCGACUUACAUUUUGUAGCGAGGUUAACCGUAUAGGGGAGCCGUAGGGAAACCGAGUCUUAACUGGGCGUCUAGUUGCAAGGUGUAGACCCGAAACCGGGUGAUCUAGCCAUGGGCAGGUUGAAGGUUGAGUAACAUCAACUGGAGGACCGAACCCACUAACGUUGCAAAGUUAGGGGAUGACCUGUGGCUGGGGGUGAAAGGCCAAUCAAACUCGGAGAUAGCUGGUUCUCCCCGAAAGCUAUUUAGGUAGCGCCUCGGACGAAUACUACUGGGGGUAGAGCACUGUUUGGGCUAGGGGGUCAUCCCGACUUACCAACCCCAUGCAAACUCCGAAUACCAGUAAGUAAUAUCCGGGAGACACACGGCGGGUGCUAACGUCCGUCGUGAAGAGGGAAACAACCCAGACCGCCGGCUAAGGUCCCAAAGUUCUGGUUAAGUGGGAAACGAUGUGGGAAGGCUCAGACAGCUAGGAUGUUGGCUUAGAAGCAGCCAUCAUUUAAAGAAAGCGUAAUAGCUCACUAGUCGAGUCGGCCUGCGCGGAAGAUGUAACGGGGCUCAAACCAGGCACCGAAGCCGCGGAUUCACACUUAUGUGUGAGUGGUAGGGGAGCGUUCUGUAAGUCUGCGAAGGUGUAUCGAGAGGUAUGCUGGAGAUAUCAGAAGUGCGAAUGCUGACGUAAGUAACGAUAAAGGGGGUGAAAAGCCUCCUCGCCGGAAGACCAAGGGUUCCUGUCCAACGUUAAUCGGGGCAGGGUGAGUCGACCCCUAAGGCGAGGCCGAAAGGCGUAGUCGAUGGGAAGCAGGUUAAUAUUCCUGCACGACUUGUAAUUGCGAUGGGGGGACGGAGAAGGCUAGGUGGGCCAGGCGACGGUUGUCCUGGUGAAAGUGCGUAGGUGGUGUUUGUAGGCAAAUCCGCAGACACAACGCUGAGACACGAGACGAACACACUACGGUGUGGAAGCCAUUGAUGCCCUGCUUCCAGGAAAAGCCUCUAAGCUUCAGAUUACAAGUCAUCGUACCCCAAACCGACACAGGUGGUCGGGUAGAGAAUACCAAGGCGCUUGAGAGAACUCGGGUGAAGGAACUAGGCAAAAUAGAACCGUAACUUCGGGAGAAGGUUCGCUCUUGAUGGUGAAGUCCCUUGCGGAUGGAGCUGUCGGGAGUCGCAGUGACCAGAUGGCUGGGACUGUUUAUCAAAAACACAGCACUCUGCAAACACGAAAGUGGACGUAUAGGGUGUGACACCUGCCCGGUGCCGGAAGGUUAAUUGAUGGGGUUAGCGCAAGCGAAGCUCUUGAUCGAAGCCCCGGUAAACGGCGGCCGUAACUAUAACGGUCCUAAGGUAGCGAAAUUCCUUGUCGGGUAAGUUCCGACCUGCACGAAUGGUGUAACCAUGGCCAUGCUGUCUCCACCCGAGACUCAGUGAAAUCGAAUUCGCCGUGAAGAUGCGGUGUACCCGCGGCUAGACGGAAAGACCCCGUGAACCUUUACUACAGCUUGGCACUGAACAUUGAACCUACAUGUGUAGGAUAGGUGGGAGGCUUUGAAGGCGUGACGCCAGUUGCGCUGGAGCCGUCCUUGAAAUACCACCCUUGUAUGUUUGAUGUUCUAACGCAGGGCCCUGAAUCGGGCUCGCGGACAGUGCCUGGUGGGUAGUUUGACUGGGGCGGUCUCCUCCCAAAGAGUAACGGAGGAGCACGAAGGUUGGCUAAUCCUGGUCGGACAUCAGGAGGUUAGUGCAAUGGCAUAAGCCAGCUUAACUGCGAGACGGACAGGUCGAGCAGGUACGAAAGUAGGUCAUAGUGAUCCGGUGGUUCUGAAUGGAAGGGCCAUCGCUCAACGGAUAAAAGGUACUCCGGGGAUAACAGGCUGAUACCGCCCAAGAGUUCAUAUCGACGGCGGUGUUUGGCACCUCGAUGUCGGCUCAUCACAUCCUGGGGCUGAAGUCGGUCCCAAGGGUAUGGCUGUUCGCCAUUUAAAGUGGUACGCGAGCUGGGUUCAGAACGUCGUGAGACAGUUCGGUCCCUAUCUGCCGUGGGCGUUGGAUGAUUGAAGGGAGUUGCUCCUAGUACGAGAGGACCGGAGUGAACGAACCUCUGGUGUUCGGGUUGUCACGCCAGUGGCACUGCCCGGUAGCUAAGUUCGGAAUCGAUAACCGCUGAAAGCAUCUAAGCGGGAAGCGAGCCCUGAGAUGAGUCAUCCCUGACCCCUUGAGGGUCCUAAAGGGCCGUUGGAGACCACAACGUUGAUAGGCGGGGUGUGUAAGUGCAGCGAUGCAUUGAGCUAACCCGUACUAAUUACCCGUGAGGCUUAACCAUACAACACCCAAGAAGUGUUCU
rnacentral:rRNA from 1 species